rnacentral:rRNA from 1 species
AUGGAAGAUCCAGAUGCUGCAUCCCCUCAGCCGGAGACGCCGGAUCCUGAUCCUACUUCUCUUCAAGAGGCGAUGCAAGAUCCUGUUAAUGUUUGGCUGGGGCCCGUCGGCCCCCUCCUCCGGAAACUCCAUUCGCUCACGGCUUCCGGACAGAGUCUGCCAGAUGGGCUCAGUGCGGAUGAGAUUCAUCUUCUCAGAGAUGGUCUCAAGAAAUUAUGUGCCCCCCUGCAGGAUAUGUCGGAAGACGAGGUCGACGCUAGCGUCAUGGCCCGGUGGUGGAUGAAGAUAGUUCGGGAACUUUGUUAUGACACGGAAGAUCACCUGGACGAGGUCAUCGGCGCCGGCGCUCAUCUCGAUUUUUCAGAAUUUCUUGAUCGUGUGAAGGAUGCGAGUAAAAGAGGCGAACGUUUCCAGUGGUGGACUAUCAAACCAGGUGACGUUGACCGGAGGGAUGCCGGUGUCAGCCGCCUCACGUCCUCCGAGCUGCCGUUUCCUAUCUGCGGCCAUAGUUGCACAGUUGGUGUUGCGGAGCCCCCAAAGAAGCUUGUCGAUCUCCUGGCUUUAGACGACGACGACAAGCAGACACUCAAGGUGAUAUCUAUAAGUGGAUGCGCAGGUGUCGGAAAGACAACAGUUGCCAGAACAUUGUAUCACAAGCAUGCAGGGAAAUUUCAGUGCCGGGCUUUCGUGACUGUGUCCCAGAAUCCAGAUACGAGGGGGUUUCUCGCCAGCAUGCUCUCACAACUUAAGGCACCACGGCCCCAUGGCUUUCUUGAUGUGCCGGACCUUAUCGAUGCUAUCAGCAAACAUCUCGAAGGCAAAAGGUACUUCAUUGUAAUUGAUGAUUUAUGGCUUGCAUCCAUAUGGAAUAUUAUUAGCCGUGCUUUUCCUCGGGGUGAUUAUUGCAGCAGAAUAAUAUCAACUACACAAAUUGAUGAUGUAGCACUGGCAUGCUGUAGUUAUGACUCAGGUUAUAUAUAUAUGAUGGAACCUCUUAAUGAUCACGAAUCUAGAAAGUUAUUCUUCGGCAGAGUGUUUGGCUCCGAAGAUGGCUGUCCAACAGAUAUCUUAGAAGUUUCAGACAUGAUUAUCAGGAAAUGUGGUGGUUUGCCAUUAGCAAUUGUAGAUAUAGCCAGUCUGCUAGCAUGCGAAUCCAGUAUCGUAUUGGAAAAAUGGAAACACGUACAUGAUUCUUUGCCGUCCACUUCCGAAGGGAUGAAAGAUUUUCUAAACCUAAUCUGCAAUAGCCUUCCACACCUUAUCUACAGCAGUCUUCCACCUCGGUUGAGGACAUGCUUGUUAUAUCUCAGCAUGUAUCCACAGGGCUGCGUGAUCAAGAAGGAUGAGUUGGUGAAGCUCUGGGUAGCUGAAGGUUUUCUCAGUGUUGUGGGAGGGCGAGACACACAAGAUAUUGCCGAGGGUUAUUUUGCUGAGCUUGUGAGCAGAGGAAUAGUCCAAGUCGUGGAUACCAGUAAUAACGGCGAGGUGUUUUCGUGUACAGUUCACCAGACGGUACUGGAUUAUAUUAGGCACAAAUCCAUGGAGAAGAAUUUCGUCAUCACCGUGGACUAUUUUCAAUCAACUGUAGCACUUUCUGACAAAGUUCGCCGCUUGUCGGUCCAGUUUGGAGGGGUAAAAAGCGCAUACAUACCGGAAACCAUUGUAACAUCCCAAGUUCGAUCACUUAUAUUUUGGGGUUUCUUCGAGUGUGUACCUUCUUCCAUAAAGGAUUAUGGACUUCUUCGAGUUCUGAUUCUUCAUAUUUGGGCUGACGAAGACAACGAGAGUUUUGACCUCACUGGAAUCGGGGAGCUAUUUCUUCUCAAGUAUCUCAAGAUUGAAUGUAAUAUCACUGUCGAACUUCCAGACAAGAUUCAAGGGCUGCAACACUUGGAAACACUGGAAGUAUAUGCAAAAGUAGUUGCUGCUCCUUCAGAUAUUGGUAAUAUGAAGAGAUUACUGCACCUCUGCCUUCCGAGCGAGUAUAUUCAGCCCAGUGUAGUUGCCCGCAUGACAUCUCUUCGCGCACUCAGAUAUAUUGAUCUCAGCAGGUGCUCGGUAGAGGAUGUUUUACAUCUUGGAGAGCUGACCAAUCUCCAGGAUCUUCAGCUCACCGGUUCUACGGUACAGCCAGCAGAAAAUCCGGAAAGGAAUGUGCAAUUACUAGGCUCGAUUCUCGAGAAACUCAGUGUCUUGCAGUCCGUAACUCUGGUACCAGCCGCUUCAGGCUCCUCUUGUGUACAUAUUCCCCAGGAUGGCUUCAGCAUGGCGUCUCCUUCUACUCGGGAACUGCUUCUUCGGAGGAUCGAGCUGUCAUGGCGCUGUUGCAUCUUCUUCAGCCUACCUGAGUGGUUUGGGGAGCUCAGAAGACUCUGCAUUCUUAAGAUUGCAAUUAGGAGGCUAUCGAUGAAUGAUACUGAUAUGCUAAAAGGACUUCCUGCCCUCACUGCUCUAACCCUGUAUAUCCAGACAGCCCCUGCAGACAGGAUCGUCAUCAAGAAGGAGGGAUUCAAAGUACUCACGUACUUCAAGUUCAUCUGUGCUGCACCAUGUGUGUCCUUUGUUCCAGGAGCAAUGCCCAAAGUCCAAAAGCUCAAGCUAGGCUUUAAUUCAAACAGAAUGAAGCAACAUAGCUUUCGAAUGGCUGGCUUACGUUUCUUGAGAGGCCUUACAGAGUUUUCUGUAAAAUUUGGGGUUGAGGAUGAUGAAAAAUUCGACAUAAAAGCUGCCGAGUCUGUAAUGGAGGCUGCCAUAUGGAAUCCCCCAAACACUCCAAUAAUGAGAGUACGAUGUGUUGAUGUGAUUUUUUGCGCCGAGGAGGAUAAGAGUACAGCGACUGAAGAAAUAGAGGAAAAGCUGGAAGGCAAGAAAAAGGAGGAUAUUGAACCUCACCUUCCUAUCCCAGUCACAGAUUUUCUUCCCGAUCAGUUCUCGGAUUCUUCAAUGGCCAAGAUUAAUACAUACAAAAAUCCCAGCCAAUUGGAUUACACUAAAAUCCAAACAGAUCCAAUGGGAUACCCAAGCAUAGGCUUACAGAAGAGGGAACGUUCGGAGGAAAAGCGACAUGAAAUUGAGGAAAGCAAGAAAAAGAAGAUGAAACAUUCGGUGGAACAUGCGAACAAGCCAUUACUCGAUAGCAGAUAUGCGACAACAGAUCGUGUCCACGUCGUGACGGGCACCAUGGGCUCCCUCCUCCCCAAGCUGCUCGAGCUCCUCAAGGACGAAUACAACCUGGAGGCCAAAGUCAAGGCCAGUGUCGAGUCCCUCCACUUGAAGCUGGAGCGCCUGCAAGCUUGCCUCUCGGGGUUGGCAAGGCUGGAGCCCAAGCGGCUGGAUGAGAGCCUCAACGGUUGGGCCAGGGCUGUAAGGGACUUCUCUUAUGAUGCGGAGGAUGCCGUCGAUUCCUUACCCUUGCGCAUCGAGGGUUCUCGGCGACUCAUUACGUGGGUCACUGGAUGGUUAAGUAGAAAGAAGGCUCACAAAGAGAUCGCCGACACGAUCAAUGGCAUCAAGAAAAAGGCCUGGGAUUUGUCCACUCUCUAUCAAAGGUGCUUGGAAACUGCGCAUCCAAAUUCCGCAACUAGCAAUUACCCUCGCUUAUUUGCUACGUAUGCAAAUCCGACAGAGUUGGUUGGUAUCGAAGUUCCAAGGGACGAGGUGAUAUGGAAGCUGACACGUGGAACUGGUGGUGUGUUCGGGCAGCCGAAGAUAGUCUCCAUUGUUGGAAUGGGAGGAUUGGGGAAGACAACUCUUGCUAAAGCAGUGUAUGACAAGAUUCAAGUGCAAUACGAUUACAAGGCUUUCGUUCCGAUGUCUAGGGAUCCUGACAUAAGGAAGGUUUACAUGGACAUCCUACUUCUAGUUGACAAGCAAUCGUCUAUGGGUCCCAGUUUGGCAAAAUUGGGUGCAGGAGAUCUUCGGUACAAAGUCAGGAGACUACUUGCGGACAAGAGGUACUUGAUCGUUAUCGAUGAUAUAUGGAAUGAAUAUUCAUGGAAAGAAAUCAAUUACGUUUUGAUGAAUGGUAAAGCUGAAAGUAGAGUAAUCACAACUACUCGGAAUCAUGCAGUAGCCAACAUGGCAGAUGAUGUUUACAGGCUAAAACCUCUUUCACAUUUGCACUCUAAAGAGUUACUCAAUAGAAGACUAUUUGAUGGUAAAGACAACGUCCCUAGUGAUGUACCAGAGGUAUCAGAAAAGAUCUUAUCGAAAUGUGGUGGUAUACCACUAGCCAUCAUUGAAAUGGCUAGUUUUUUGUACAUGAAACCAAGGGUUCAUUGGUCUAAGGUGUAUGACAAUGUCGGUUAUGAGUCAGAUGUUGGAGGCAAUGCAGAUGUCUGGAAGGCGACGAGAGAGGUACUAUCAUCUAGUUAUUAUGAUAUGCCUGAUUUUCUGAGGGCAUGUUUAUGGCAUCUACACAUUUUUCCAGAAGACUGUUUAAUCAAGAAAGAAACUUUGAUCUGGAAGUGGGCAGCCGAAGGUUUAAUCGAUGAGGAACCAGGGAAAGGGCUAUCUGAGCUUGGAGAAUUAUGCUUCCAAGAACUCAUAAAUAGAAACCUGGUCAUGUCGGUAGAGGAUGACUCACAUUGUGGGAAGGUAAUUGGUUGCCGUGUCCAUUAUUUGGUGCUUGAUAUGAUCUGUUCCUUAUCAACUCAAGAGAACUUUGUUACCGUCCUGGAUGGUAGCAAGCAACAACUCCCUGUUGCAAGCAAGACUCGCAGGUUGGCUGUCCAAAAGAGGGUCGCGGAGCAGGGUGACCCUCUGACUAACAUUCGCCCGGAAAAUCUGAGGUCAUUUAAUACCAUGGGGUGUCAUUUUAGUACGGAUCUAUCACUUUCAUGCUUUGAACGUCUCCGUGUGGUUGCUAUAGAGGAAUGUACUUUCAAUGAAGGGGAGAGUUAUAAUCUUAAGUAUCUUGGGAGAUUACUUCAGCUAAGGUACCUCGGACUAUAUAACACACGUAUUGAUGAGCUACCGCAAGACAUAGGGGAUCUAAGAUUUUUGCAGACACUGGACUUGAGGGGAACCAGGGUCAAAGAAUUGCCAGGGAGAGUUGCUCGCCUAAGGCAACUCAAGUGCCUGCGAGCUGAUGAAGGCACAGCAGUGCCGGACUGGAUGGGGAAUCUGACAUCCCUAGAGGAACUGCUGCUGGGCGAAGUCGGCAAGUCGGUAAACUUUGUGAAUGAGCUGAGCAAACUGACAGAGCUGAGGAAGCUAGAGAUUCGGACUGAGAAGUUGGAUAAGAACCAAAGCAAAGCUUUGGUGCAGUCUAUGAGAAAUCUAGAGAAAAUUCAAGUCCUAAGACUUACGAUGCGUUAUUGGUGGCCAUCACUUGGUGAGCUCAACUGGGGAGACUUUGACCCACCUAGACAACUCCGUGAGUUGCACCUAAUGAGCAUCGCAUCCUCUCAGCCGCCCGCGUGGAUCAACGCCUACCGUGUUCCGGUUCUCUCACACUUGUAUGUGAAUGUGAUGGCUCUGAAAGACCAGGAUCUAGAGAACCUUGGGAGAUUGCCAGAGCUCAUUAGUCUGGAGCUGCUGACGCCGUCGAAUAUCUCCCCUACCAUCAAGGGAGACCGUGCAUUCCCCAAGUUGAGGUGCUUUCACACGUCCACAUCAUUCAGUUUUUCAGAGGGAACUAUGCGAAGCCUGGAAUUAUUUCACUUCAAAGUCGACAUCUCGGCCUUGAAGGAUGCCAACGUUAACUUUCAUGAAGGAUUUGUUGCAUCAACAAUGAAGAACCUCCCUUCGCUUCAGAAAGUCAAGGCGGAAAUCAGCUUCACCGGUGACGUCAAGGCGAUACAUGAAGCGCUGAAGCGUGCAGUGGACGAACAUCCGAACAGUCCCAGCCUUCAUGUCAAAACUAAUCAGGUUGCCACUGCGCAGAAAAGACUACUGUAA